GAUCAUGGUCAGGACGAACGCUGGCGGCGUGCUUAACACAUGCAAGUCGAACGAAGAGCGAUGGAAGCUUGCUUCUAUCAAUCUUAGUGGCGAACGGGUGAGUAACGCGUAAUCAACCUGCCCUUCAGAGGGGGACGAACAGUUGGAAACGACUGCUAAUACCGCAUACGAUCCAAUCUCGGCAUCGAGACUGGAUGAAAGGUGGCCUCUAUUUAUAAGCUAUCACUGAAGGAGGGG
rnacentral:rRNA from 1 species